rnacentral:rRNA from 1 species
AUUGAACGCUGGCGGAAUGCUUUACACAUGCAAGUCGAACGGCAGCACGGACUUCGGUCUGGUGGCGAGUGGCGAACGGGUGAGUAAUGUAUCGGAACGUGCCCAGUCGUGGGGGAUAACGUAGUGAGAAUUACGCUAAUACCGCAUACGAUCUAUGGAUGAAAGCGGGGGAUCGCAAGACCUCGCGCGAUUGGAGCGGCCGAUAUCAGAUUAGGUAGUUGGUGGGGUAAAGGCCCACCAAGCCAACGAUCUGUAGCUGGUCUGAGAGGACGACCAGCCACACUGGAACUGAGACACGGUCCAGACUCCUACGGGAGGCAGCAGUGGGAAAUUUUGGACAAUGGGCGAAAGCCUAAUCCAGCCAUUCCGCGUGCAGGAUGAAGGCCCUCGGGUUGUAAACUGCUUUUGUACAGAACGAAAAGGUUUCUACUAAUACUAGGAGCUCAUGACGGUACUGUAAGAAUAAGCACCGGCUAACUACGUGCCAGCCGCCGCUGUAA